rnacentral:rRNA from 1 species
CGAACGAAGCACUGAAAGCAGAUUACUUCGGUUUGAAGCUUUCCUUGACUGAGUGGCGGACGGGUGAGUAACGCGUGGGUAACCUGCCUCAUACAGGGGGAUAACAGUUAGAAAUGACUGCUAAUACCGCAUAAGCGCACAGGACCGCAUGGUCCGGUGUGAAAAACUCCGGUGGUAUGAGAUGGACCCGCGUCUGAUUAGCUGGUUGGUGAGGUAACGGCCCACCAAGGCGACGAUCAGUAGCCGGCCUGAGAGGGUGAACGGCCACAUUGGGACUGAGACACGGCCCAAACUAAUACGGGAGGCAGCAGUGGGGAAUAUUGCACAAUGGGGGAAACCCUGAUGCAGCGACGCCGCGUGAAGGAAGAAGUAUUUCGGUAUGUAAACUUCUAUCAGCAGGGAAGAAAAUGACGGUACCUGACUAAAAAGCCCCGGCUAACUACGUGCCAGCAGCCGCGGUAAUACGUAGGGGGCAAGCGUUAUCCGGAUUUACUGGGUGUAAAGGGAGCGUACGCGGUUUAACAAGUCAGAAGUGAAAGCCCGGGGCUCAACUCCGGGACUGCUUUUGAAACUGUUGAACUAGAUUGCAGGAGAGGUAAGUGGAAUUCCU